rnacentral:antisense_RNA from 1 species
AGUUCUCUCGCGACCUCUAGCCACUUCCGGUUGCUAACGGUUCCCAAUCAGCCCCCGAAAACGCUACGUGAGCUGGGCCCUGGGCCAGAGGCAGAAAACGGACGGAAGAAAAGGUCUGGCAGGAGAUGGGUCUCACUCUGUCACCCAGACUGGAGUGCAGUGAGUGGUGCGAUCAUAGCUCACUGCAGCCUGAAACUCCUGGGCUCAAGUGAUCCUCUCGCCUCAGCCUCCUGCGUAGCUGGAACUACAGGUGUGAGCUACCCAGCAUGGCUCAUUUGAGAUUUCUGAGUAGAGAAGUAACAUGAUUAAACUUGGGUAUUGAAAUUAUUAUUUUGGCUGCUAUGUUAACAGUAGACUUGAAUGCGAAGGGGUUGGGCAAGGGCAGAAGCAGGGAGACAGGUUGGAAAGCUGGAGUGGGAAGGGCCUUUUUAAGAAUAACACAAACCCCUAAAGACAUAAAACUGAAAAGGCCAUGGAGGAAAAGAUAAAUGAAACUGGCCUUGUAAAAUUGAAAUAUUUGAAUGAAAAAAGUAAAAAUAAAAUAUAAACUAAAAGUAAAAUAUGCCACACAUCUAAAACACACAGCUGAUUUUCCUGAUAUACAAAGACCUUUUAUCUUACCAAAAAAUAAAAAUAUGAACAAGCCAAUAGAAAAAUAGACAAAGUACUUAACCUGCAUGCAUUUAUUGUCAGGCCUCUGACAAUAUGAUACUAAGCCAUCAUAGCCCCUGUGACCGCCACGUACACAUCCAGAUGACCUGGAGCAACUGAAGUACCACAAAAGAUGGCAUUCCAUCACUGAGAUUUGUUCCUGCCCCACCCCAACUAAUCAAUCGACCUUGUGACAUUCCCCCUGCCCCCGACAGUGAGUCUCAUGAUUUCCCUACCCUGCACCUUGUGACCCCCGCCCCUGCCCACAAGAGAUAACCACCUUUAACUGUAAUUUUCCACUACCUACCCAAAUCCUAUAAAACUGCCCCACCCCUAUCUCCCUUUGCUGACUCUCUUUUUGGACUCAGCCCACUUGCACCCAAGUGAAAUAAACAGCCUUGUUGCUCACACAAAGCCUGUUGGUGCACUCUCUUCACACAGACUCACGUGACAUUUAUAGAACACAAAAUCAAGAAUAAUGAAUAUGAAAAGGUUCACUAAUAAGAAUUUAAACAAAACAAGAAAGAUUUUUAAGAUUGCUAAAGACAAACGAUUUAUAAUAUUCAGUGUUAGGAGGUGUGUGGAUAUACAGGCAUACUUAGUUGUACAUUUUUAGAAGGUUAAACUUAUUUAGAAGGUAAGAAGUUGUCCAUACCCCUUGAUACAACAACUUAGCUUCUUGGAAUUAUCCAUAUAGAAAUGCUUACAUAAAUGUUUGAACAUAUGUACAAAGAAGCACUGUUUAUUUAAAUUUGGAAACUCGAAUGCCUAACAUUUGGAAUUUAAAUUUCUAUAUGUCUAUUCAUUAAAAUACCACCCAGUUUUUAGAAACUAAGAGAUGCUAAAGGUAUAUUGAGUAAAAUAAAAAGUUACAAAA